GUAGGGAAUAUUGGGCAAUGGAUGCAAGUCUGACCCAGCCAUCCCGCGUGCCGGAAGAAGGCCCUCAGGGUUGUAAACGGCUUUUGACGGUGAAGAAUCGACAGUAUGCGUCCUGUUUUGACGGUAGCCGUUGAAUAAGCACCGGCUAACUCCGUGCCAGCAGCCGCGGUAAUACGGAGGGUGCGAGCGUUGUCCGGAUUUAUUGGGUUUAAAGGGUGCGUAGGCUGGAAGGUCAGUCAGCGGUGAAAAGCUGUCGCUUAACGAUAGUCUUGCCGCAGAUACUUCCUUUCUUGGAUGAGGAGGAGGCCACUGGAACGGAUGGUGUAGCGGUGAAAUGCAUAGAUAUCAUCCAGAACACCGAUUGCGAAGGCAGGUGGCUGUACCUUAAUCGACGCUGAUGCACGAAAGCAUGGGGAGCAAACAGGAUUAGAAACCCCAGUAGUCC
rnacentral:rRNA from 1 species